rnacentral:rRNA from 1 species
ACGGAAGCAGCAGUGGGGGAUAUUGCACAAUGGGGGAAACCCUGAUGCAGCGACGCCGCGUGAGUGAAGAAGUAUUUCGGUAUGUAAAGCUCUAUCAGCAGGGAAGAUAAUGACGGUACCUGACUAAGAAGCACCGGCUAAAUACGUGCCAGCAGCCGCGGUAAUACGUAUGGUGCAAGCGUUAUCCGGAUUUACUGGGUGUAAAGGGAGCGUAGACGGCAUAGCAAGUCUGAUGUGAAAGCUAUGGGCUCAACCCAUAAACUGCAUUGGAAACUGUUAAGCUAGAGUGUCGGAGAGGUAAGUGGAAUUCCUAGUGUAGCGGUGAAAUGCGUAGAUAUUAGGAGGAACACCAGUGGCGAAGGCGGCUUACUGGACGAUAACUGACGUUGAGGCUCGAAAGCGUGGGGAGCAAACAGGAUUAGAUACCCUGGUA